UACGUAGGGUGCAAGCGUUGUCCGGAUUUAUUGGGCGUAAAGCGCGUGUAGGCGGCCUGACAGGUCUGCUGUGAAAACUCGAGGCUCAACCUCGAGAUGUCGGCGGAAACCGUCUGGCUAGAGUCCGGAAGAGGAGAGUGGAAUUCCUGGUGUAGCGGUGAAAUGCGCAGAUAUCAGGAAGAACACCUAUGGCGAAGGCAGCUCUCUGGGACGGUACUGACGCUGAGACGCGAAAGCGUGGGGAGCGAACAGG
rnacentral:rRNA from 1 species